AGUGAACGCUGGCGGUAGGCCUAACACAUGCAAGUCGAACGGCAGCACAGUAAGAGCUUGCUCUUACGGGUGGCGAGUGGCGGACGGGUGAGGAAUACAUCGGAAUCUACUUUUUCGUGGGGGAUAACGUAGGGAAACUUACGCUAAUACCGCAUACGACCUACGGGUGAAAGCAGGGGAUCUUCGGACCCUGCGCGAUUGAAUGAGCCGAUGUCGGAUUAGCUAGUUGGCGGGGUAAAGGCCCACCAAGGCGACGAUCCGUAGCUGGUCUGAGAGGAUGAUCAGCCACACUGGAACUGAGACACGGUCCAGACUCCUACGGGAGGCAGCAGUGGGGAAUAUUGGACAAUGGGCGCAAGCCUGAACCAGCCAUACCGCGUGGGUGAAGAAGGCCUUCGGGUUGUAAAGCCCUUUUGUUGGGAAAGAAAAGCAGCAGGUUAAUACCCCGCUGUUCUGACGGUACCCAAAGAAUAAGCACCGGCUAACUUCGUG
rnacentral:rRNA from 1 species